rnacentral:rRNA from 1 species
UGAGGAAUAUUGGUCAAUGGACGAAAGUCUGAACCAGCCAUGCCGCGUGCAGGAAGACGGUCCUAUGGAUUGUAAACUGCUUUUAUACGGGAAGAAACCUCUCUACGCGUAGAGACUUGACGGUACCGUAAGAAUAAGGAUCGGCUAACUCCGUGCCAGCAGCCGCGGUAAUACGGAGGAUUCGAGCGUUAUCCGGAAUCAUUGGGUUUAAAGGGUCCGUAGGCGGGUUAGUAAGUCAGGGUGGAAGUUUCGGCUUAACCGAAAAUUGCCUUUGAUACUGCUAGUCUUGAAUAUUUGUGAAGUAACUAGAAUAUGUGGUGUAGCGGUGAAAUGCAUAGAUAUCACAUGGAAUACCGAUUGCGAAGGCAGGUUACUAACAGAUUAUUGACGCUGAUGGACGAAAGCGUGGGUAGCGAACAGGAUUAGAUACC